GAUGAAGAACGUAGCGAAAUGCGAUAAGUAGUGUGAAUUGCAGAAUUCAGUGAAUCAUCGAAUCUUUGAACGCACAUUGCGCCCCCUGGUAUUCCGGGGGGCAUGCCUGUCCGAGCGUCAUUGCUGCCCUCAAGCACGGCUUGUGUGUUGGGCCCCGUCCUCCGAUCCCGGGGGACGGGCCCGAAAGGCAGCGGCGGCACCGCGUCCGGUCCUCGAGCGUAUGGGGCUUUGUCACCCGCUCUGUAGGCCCGGCCGGCGCUUGCCGAUCAACCCAAAUUUUUAUCCAGGUUGACCUCGGAUCAGGUAGGGAUACCCGCUGAACUUAAGCAUAUCAAUAAGCGGAGGA
rnacentral:misc_RNA from 1 species